rnacentral:rRNA from 1 species
CCGCUAAGGAGUGUGUAACAACUCACCUGCCGAAUGAACUAGCCCUGAAAAUGGAUGGCGCUUAAGCGUAUUACCCAUACUUCACCCACAGGGUAGAAACGAUGCCCUGUGGAGUAGGCAGGCGUGGAGGUUAGUGACGAAGCCUUGGGGGUGACCCCGGGUAGAACAGCCUCUAGUGCAGAUCUUGGUGGUAGUAGCAAAUACUCAAAUGAGAACUUUGAGGACUGAAGUGGGGAAAGGUUCCAUGUGAACAGCAGUUGGACAUGGGUUAGUCGAUCCUAAGGCUCAGAGUAACUCCGUUAUAAGGC